GACAUUAAUUUUUUUUUUCUAAGAAAUGAGACACUUUUUUUGAUUGGUCAAUAAAAUACACACAUCAUAUUUUUUUUACUAUCGGGAAAUGAUAAUUAAUUUUUAAUUUUUUAACAAAAUUUUUCUAAAAGAAAAAUGUAUAUUUUAUUUCGAUUUUUUAAUAGUGUUGUAUUUCUAUUGACUAAUUUUUUAAUGGCCAUUUAUUAUGGUCGACGAUUUUUCAAAGUCAUGAGUAUGCAUUAUCAGCUUGUCGCUGAAAUAACAGAAUUCAAUUUAAUCGUAAAGGAAUCACGUGCUAGUCUUGAUUACACAACUUCAAAAAUUGCUGAGGCUAUGAAAGAGAUUGAAGGAGACAUUGAUAAUGAACUUGGUAUCACUUAUGAUUUGACAAAAUUAAAUUCAAUUAUGCUGGAAUUAAAAAGUAGAUUUAUCCAAUUGGAAGAACGAAUAAUUGAGUUUGUACGAAUGGAUGAAAACAUGGAAAAUGUACAACUUGAAACUCCAGAUGAUAUUAAUUACGUUGUUAAAAAAUUCAUAACAAAAUCAAAGAAAAAACCUCUUGAUAGUUUAGCAAUGGCUUGUGAUUUCGAAACAACAAUAACUGGAUAAAAGAAAAUUAAAUAGUCAAUUACAACAUUUAUUCUUCACUGAAAUUUUUAUUUGGCGUAUUGUUUAUUUUUUAUUUUUUUUUGACAACAUGUUACAUAUUUCAAAAGGACAAUUAGAUAAAAAUAAGAAUCGACUGCAUAUUCGACGGAAUUUCAAGUAACGUGCAGAUGGAGAAAAAAAAAUAAACUAAAUAGAAGAAAAAUUAUGGCAUUGAUUUAUCAUCAGAACGCAAUAAAAUAUUUUUAAAAAUCAUCAAAAUUUAUAUCUAAAUCGGUUAUUAGUGUUGCCUUGUUUGAGGAUAAGAAUUUCCCAUGCUUCUCUUGACAAAACUGUCCCACCCAGCACGAUCAAUUUCAUCAAAAUUUCUCUUCAUAUAAUUGUCAAAUCCUGAACGAUCAAUUUCAUCCAUAUUUCGCUUCGCAGUUCCAUCAAGUAACUCAACAUGAUUCACAUUUCCAAGCCAUUUCGAAUUUCUAAAAAAUUAAAAUAAACAAAAACAAUAUAAUACAACAAAUUAUUAUAAUCAUUAACAAUUAAUUUUGAAAAUUAAAAAACAAUUUAAUCAUUUUUAAAUUUACAAAUUUUAUAAAUAUUUUUUAACAAUUUCUUUUUCGAAAUACCAGUUGCUUUUUAAAUCAAUAUCAUCAAC